rnacentral:rRNA from 1 species
AACCAUGAUGUCAUUAAUUUGGUGUCAUGGGGAAUCAGGACCGUUACUUUGAAAAAAUUAGAGUGUUUAAAGCAGGCUCGCGCUUGAAUACAUUAGCAUGAAAUAAUGAAAUAGGACGUUUGAUCCUAUUUUGUUGGUUUCUAGGAUCGACGUAAUGAUUAACAGGGAUAGUUGGGGGCAUUAGUAUUCAAUUGUCAGAGGUGAAAUUCUUGGAUUUAUUGAAGACUAACUACUCC